rnacentral:rRNA from 1 species
AUUGAACGCUGGCGGCAGGCCUAACACAUGCAAGUCGAACGAGUGGCGGACGGGUGAGUAACGCCUGGGAAACUGCCUGAUGGAGGGGGGUAACUACUGGAAACGGUAGUUACUACCCCAUACCGUCAGUUGCGCCCAGAUGGGCUUAGCUUGUUGGUGGGGUAACGGCUCACCAAGGCGACGACCCCUAGCUGGUCUGAGAGGAUGACCAGCCACACUGGAACUGAGACACGGUCCAGACUCCUACGGGAGGCAGCAGUGGGGAAUAUUGCACAAGGGGCGCAAGCCUGAUGCAGCCAUGCCGCGUGUGUGAAGAAGGCCUUCGGGUUGUAAAGUACUUUCAGCGGGGAGGCGUUACCCGCAGAAGAAGCACCGGCUAACUCCGUGCCAGCAGCCGCGGUAAUUC